rnacentral:misc_RNA from 1 species
UGGUUCUGGCAUNGAUGAAGAACGCAGCGAAAUGCGAUAAGUAAUGUGAAUUGCAGAAUUCAGUGAAUCAUCGAAUCUUUGAACGCACAUUGCGCCCUCUGGUAUUCCGGGGGGCAUGCCUGUUCGAGCGUCAUUACAACCCUCAAGCUCUGCUUGGUAUUGGGUGUCACCAGCUUGGUGCACUUUAAAAUCAGUGGCGGUGCCAUUUGGCUUCAAGCGUAGUAAUAAUUUCGCUUCUGAAGUUUAGAUGUACUCUUGUCAGCAAUUCAUAUAUAUCAAAGGUUGACCUCGGAUCAGGUAGGGAUACCCGCUGA